CGGGUGCUCGUGGCCGGAGAGCGCCGCGGCCGGUUCGAGCUCGGCUGUGCGCGGCAUCGCGAGGAGUUCGGAUGCCGUUCGGCGCGGCGUCAUCCGC
rnacentral:tRNA from 1 species